UAACGAAUCUUCCGCAAUGCACGAAAGUGUGACGGGGCAAUGCCGCGUGUGGGAUGAAGCCCUUAGGGGUGUAAACCACUGUCAGGGACUACCAACAACAUGAGGAGUCCCAAAGGAAGAGCCGACUAACUCUGUGCCAGCAGCCGCGGUAAUACAGAGGGCUCGAGCGUUAAUCGGAAUCACUGGGCUUAAAGCGUGCGUAGGCGGAUUUGAAGGCGCUUUGUGAAAUCCCUCGGCUCAACCGAGGAACUGCUUGGCGAACCACAAAUCUUGAGGCUGGUAGAGGUGGUCGGAACAAUAGGUGGAGCGGUGAAAUGCGUAGAUAUCUAUUGGAACACCGAAGGUGAAGACAGGCCACUGGGCCAGUCCUGACGCUGAGGCACGAAAGCGUGGGUAGCAAACGGGAUUAGAUACCCCGGUAGUCCACGCCGUAAACGAUGCGCACUUGGUCGAGGGGGUUGAACGCCUUCUCGGCCGUAGGAAAACUGAUUAGUGCGCCGCCUGGGGAGUACGGUCGCAAGAUUAAAACUCAAAGGAAUUGACGG
rnacentral:rRNA from 1 species